ensembl:lncRNA
GGCAGCUCCUGACCGAAUCCAGUGGGAAGAGGUGUUUUUGUCUGUUGCCUGCAGUGAUCGAUGAGGAACUAGCACAAAGUGCCUGCAGCUCCUGCGGCAGAAAGCAGAUUGGGUGCCAAUGAAUUGCAUUGCCUUGGAAGCAGCCUGCGAAAGAACCGCUGGCUCCUACGGGGUUCAUGCAGGGUCGUUCAUCACCAUGACUCUCAGCAGCAUGGAAAAGAAAUUAAAAGUGGCUAAAAAAGACCUUUUUGUUUAGCCGGAGGAUACGUAAUAGAUCAGAAUGUUUAAAAUAUCCGCAUAUCGCUGAGCUCAGGCAUGCAAGUGGGUUCCUGCAGCUUAACACAUGGCGGAGCAAUCCCCUGCACCAUGGCGAUGGGCAUGUUGGUGGCUGAUGGACAGGACAAAAGCAUGGUCCUGAAGUUUACUGCUGUGAGCGACAUGUGGUAGGUCACUGCUGUGCCUACAUGUCAGGUUCCUGGCUGAGCUCAAGAGGUCAGAACAACCAAUGGAGACACAUGCAAUCAGCACCUGCUCUCAUUGCCCAAGGUGCACUUGCACACUUGGCAGCAAGGCCCUGGUGUCCCCUCAGCAGGUUUCCUGGCUUUUUAUGAGAGCGCAGCCCAUCUCACCCAGCAAGGUUGGCUGGCACCAACCUUCUCCAGCUUCUUCUCUUACAGGGAGGGAGGAAGCCAGCUUCUUCAAAUUCAACUCAGAUGUGCAUAAACCCCUCAGUACAGGAGAUAACCAGUUUUCAAACACAGAAUAUUAUGGAAUAGCUUGGAUUGGAAGGGACCUUAAAGACCACUGAGUUUCAACCUCCUACCAUGGGCAGGUUGCCCCCCACCAUCUCAGGCUGCCCAGGGCCCCAUCCAGCCUGGACCUGAGCACCUCCAGGGAUGGGACACCCACAGCUCUCUGGGUAGCAGUGCCAGGGCCCCACCACUCUCCAAAUAAGAAAACAUCCUUGGCCACAGAUUUGCCAUGACUUUGAGGAAGUCACUUCAUCUGACAUCAGCACCACAAGCAACGAAGCCCUCACUGGUAUUGCAUUAAUCUUCAAUCAAAACUUCACAUAAGGAUUACAGGAAUAAACUACUGCAGCAAGAGAAUAUUCUUCAUCUGGAUGACCCCUUUGUUCCACAAGUGUGCAUUAUCGGCAUUUUCACAUCUGUUCAUCACUUGGAGCAACUUUCUUUUGUCCCUUAGUUAGCUCAAGCAUCCACUUCCCCCUCCCAUGCUCCUCCACACCAUACAUUUUUUUUUAAAUCUAAAUACAUUUUCUAAAGUUUAUGACAUGCUGUGUAAUUAAAAUCAAGUUGGCAAAAAAAAAAAGAACUGUUUCAUCCACUACAGCUCUUUUCAUUCUAUAAUCCUCCAGCUGGAGUGCAGGUGGGGAAUUUGAAGUGCUCUCGUACUCAGUGGCAACAGCAAGGCCAAGGUCAUGGACAUGACUAAUGACACUGAAUGUUCGCUGUGACCUUUCUUGUGGCAGCCCAACUUUCAGAAGCUUUACACGAUGCUUUCUGACAAUGAGAUCUCAUAGGAUAUUUUCUAUGAGCAUCCCAAAAUCAGAAAUCACUUCUGCAAGUUGUGACUUCUGCACUCACACUGGGGAUUGCACAGGAAAGGUAUAAACUGCUCAGCACUUCC